CAGCCUUCCUCUGGUGUUUUGUGGUACGACCGAACUGGCGACUACGAUGGGAUCGGUUCGUCGGUAUCGACCACAACAAGGAAUACCGCAUGUCCAGUUAUGGGUGACUACUCGACCCCCUCCACCCGGACCUUCACAAAAGAGGGGAAGCUACGGAGAUGAAGAGGACCUGGAAUGAAUUCCAAGCGGGUGAUGCUGUGAAAGUAAAGUGUAGCAGAACGGAUGGUCCUGCAUGGCUACCGGGAAGGACACAAAAGGGGUUGAGCGCUGCUACAUAUACAGUAAGAAUCGAUAACUAAGAACGAUUUGCGCACGUAGAUAACAUCGCAAAGUUCCACGAAACGAGCCCGACGAUGCCUCUUCCAACACCAUUCGUCAAGUCUUGGGAUGACAACGGGGUCCAGACCCUCACUCCUGACAAUAUCGUCGAGGAACGUUCGCUGGCACUCCAUUUCCCGGAGACAACGUCCCGGAAGGACAGCUCUCAAGACUUACAAGCUCAGUCGACAGACUCGACUAGUCGUCACCACAGCGUGGAACACCCUGUCGAAAGCGGCCCCGUUCCUUUGUGAAGUACACGGAGAAGACGUCCGCCUCAACGUUACGUGAUUUAACUUAGGGUGGAGGAACGUUGUAAUAAGGUGCUAACGCUUAGCACGUCGGGGGUGAUUUGGUGACGCGUGUGAUAACCAUGCGGCUAACGCAGCGCCACCCUCCUGUGUAAAAGUCAAAUGAAUAAAGAUGUUCUUUCACUUUC